GACAGGGGUCUCGAGCGUUAAUCGGAAUUACUGGGCUUAAAGGGUGCGUAGGUGGGUCCGCAAGUGCCUUGUGAAAUCCCCCCGGCUCAACCGGGGAACUGCGGGGCAUACUGCGGGUCUGAGGAAGGUAGGCGCCGAGGGAACAGUAGGUGGAGCGGUGAAAUGCGUAGAUAUCUACUGGAACGCCGAUGGUGAAGACGCUCGGCUGGGCCUUUCCUGACACUGAGGCACGAAAGCGUGGGGAGCAAACAGG
rnacentral:rRNA from 1 species